UUCAUGCCAACUUUAACUUCUGUCAGUGUCAUUCUAAGGAGUCUUAAUUUUUAAGAUAAGUUACUACAUUGGAUUACUGCUUUGAAUGCAGGUCUUUGGAUCAGAAAGAUCCAAAAACCUGCAGUCUGGGACAGUUUCAGAAUUGAUUUCACCCUUUUGGAUGAAAUCAAGCCAGAAUAUACAUUUUCAGAGCUGAAUAUUUGUGGAAGAAGUUAAAGCCUUUGUUCUCAGAGAAAUGCAAGAGCUGCAAUUACACCAAGCGUCUUAUGGAGUAUCCUGGUGGGAAGAGGGCCCUUGUGCAAUGUCCUUUUCCGCACACCCAAGCAGAAGUCAGGCAUAAUAUAUAUCAGAAUGAGGAUGCUGAAUUCCCCUGCUACUUCAGCAGAACAAAUCAGGAUGCAUACUUCCAUCUUGCAUAUCAGGAUGAAAGAGAUCAGUGCUGGAGACAAUAGAGAAAUCAAGCAAACUCUCUGCACUGAGAAAAAUGUGAUGGGGAAACCCCAUUGUCUGCUGAAGAAAAUUCACUGUUCUUUCUGUCAGAAGUUAAAUCCUAUGAGUGUCAAAUAUACUUGAUAAACAGAA